rnacentral:tRNA from 1 species
CAAAGAAUAGUUUAAUAGAAGAAUCCUAACUUUGGGAGUUAGGGGUAGAAGUUAAAAUCUUCUUUCUUUGA